rnacentral:rRNA from 1 species
GACGGGGGAUGCAAGUGUUAUCCGGAAUCACUGGGCGUAAAGCGUCUGCAGGUGGUUUCCUAAGUCCACUGUUAAACCUUGAGGCUCAACCUCAAAUCUGCAUUGGAAACUAGGAGACUUGAGUAUAGUAGGGGUAGAGGGAAUUUCCAGUGGAGCGGUGAAAUGCGUAGAUAUUGGAAAGAACACCGAUGGCGAAGGCACUCUACUGGGCCAUUACUGACACUCAUGGACGAAAGCUAGGGGAGCGAAAGGG